rnacentral:misc_RNA from 1 species
AACGCACGAGACCUGCGGACCUGCGGAAGGAUCAUUAAUGAGAAGCUGCCCCUCGUGGGUAGACCUCCCACCCUCUGUGAACUUACCUUUGUUGCUUUGGCAGGCCCGUCCUCUGGACCGCCGGCUUCGGCUGGCCCGUGCCUGCCUGAGGAUUCCAAACCCUGUCUGUCAGUGUUGUCUGAGUCUAUAUGAAAUCGUUAAAACUUUCAGCAACGGAUCUCUAGAUCGGAAGAGCACACG